GGAUGCAGACGUCACCUUCAUCCGGAAAAACCUCAUCAAACCCUGUAAGUUCAUGAUGACCGUUUUUGGUGCCUAAUUCUUUCUAUAUGCAAUCGAACCACAAUGCGUGUGCGUGACGAUUGCAACGCGCGAAGACCGUUAUGUGCGCAGUGAAAGGACUUCAUGCGUUUGAAAUUAAGUGUAACGUUAUAAGUAUUACGAGCCAGGAUUAAAUCCGACCGAAGCAGACCCGAAGAUAAAAUGAAAAACACAUUUAUGGAGUAACAAACAACAAGAAAUAACAAGAAUAAAAUAACAAUGCGCAAUUCAAAAACUAGAAUAGAAA